GAGCUUGGUCCAGGGGCAUGAUUCUCGCUUCAGGUGCGAGAGGUCCCAGGUUCGAGUUCCCGGGUUCA